GUUUUUAUAGUUGAAUACACAACAGGGGCUUUUCGUGCCUCAGGUCUUGGUCUAGAGCCCAAGUGAGAAUA
rnacentral:tRNA from 1 species